AGUGAACGCUGGCGGUAGGCCUAACACAUGCAAGUCGAACGGCAGCACAGUAAGAGCUUGCUCUUACGGGUGGCGAGUGGCGGACGGGUGAGGAGUACAUCGGAAUCUACUUUUUCGUGGGGGAUAACGUAGGGAAACUUACGCUAAUACCGCAUACGACCUACGGGUGAAAGCAGGGGAUCUUCGGACCUUGCGCGAUUGAAUGAGCCGAUGUCGGAUUAGCUAGUUGGCGGGGUAAAGGCCCACCAAGGCGACGAUCCGUAGCUGGUCUGGGAGGAUGAUCAGCCACACUGGAACUGAGACACGGUCCAGACUCCUACGGGAGGCAGCAGUGGGGAAUAUUGGGCAAUGGGCGCAAGCCUGAUCCAGCCAUACCGCGUGGGUGAAGAAGGCCUUCGGGUUGUAAAGCCCUUUUGUUGGGAAAGAAAAGCAGCAGGUUAAUACCCCGCUGUUCUGACGGUACCCAAAGAAUAAGCACCGGCUAACUUCGUG
rnacentral:rRNA from 1 species